rnacentral:sRNA from 1 species
UCAGAUCAUCUUUGAUUGGCACUGGUUCC